GCCUGACUCAAAAUGCUGAAUGCUACAAACAGUGGGAAAAAAUGCACUUGGAGAAUCUGGAUGCAAGUGUUGCUGUUCUUCAGAGAAUGACUGAUCAGUGGAAGGAAUACUCCACUAAACUCGCUCCCCUAGAUUCUUUGAGGGAAACGGUGAAGCACUUGAGGGCAAAGAACGAAGAAUCCCUAUCUGCUGCAGGGGAUGGCGACCAAGUGUCAUCCAUUAAAGAUGCGGACAAAUACUGUAAGGUGUUGCAGGGGAGAUUAAAUCGUGGUUCGAGCUGCCUGAAGAGCG
rnacentral:misc_RNA from 1 species